GUUAAAAAGCACGUAGUUGGAUUUCGGAGUGGGCCAGUUGGUCCGCCGCAAGGUGUGUUACUGACUGGUUUGCUCUUCUUCGCAAAGACUGCGUGUGCUCUUGAGUGAGUGUGCGUAGGAUUUACGACGUUUACUUUGAAAAAAUUAGAGUGCUCAAAGCAGGCUAUUGCUUGAAUACAUGAGCAUGGAAUAAUGGAAUAGGACUUUGGUCCCAUUUUGUUGGUUUCUAGGACCGAAGUAAUGAUUAAGAGGGACAAUUGGGGGCAUCCGUAUUUCGUUGUCAGAGGUGAAAUUCUUGGAUUUACGAAAGACGAACAACUGCGAAAGCACUUGCCAAGAGUGUUUUCAUUAAUCAAGAACGAAAGUUAGAGGAUCGAAGACGAUCAGAUACCGUCCUAGUUCUAACCAUAAACGAUGUCGACUAGGGAUCAGCGGGCGUUAUCGUACGACCCCGUUGGCACCUUACGGGAAACCAAAGUUUCUGGAUUCCGGGGGAAGUAUGGUUGCAAAGCUGAAACUUAAAGGAAUUGACGGAAGGGCACCACCAGGAGUGGAGCCUGUGGCUCAAUUUGACUCAACACGGGAAAACUUACCAGGUCCAGACAUAGUAAGGAUUGACA
rnacentral:rRNA from 1 species